CCCUUAGAUGUUCUGGGCCGCACGCGUGCUACACUGAACGGUUCAAUGGGUAAGGUAGUGCGAAAGCAUGACCUAAUCUCGAAAUCCGUUCGUGCUGGGGAUAGAAGCUUGCAAUUAUCCUUCUUGAACGAGGAAUACCUUGUAAGCGUGAGUCAUCAUCUCACGCUGAAUACGUCCCUGCCCUUUGUACACACCGCCCGUCGCUCCUACCGAUUGAGUGGUCCGGUGAGGCUUUGGGAUCUGAGCGGAAAGAGCGUUUCGCUGUUUCUGCUCGGAAAACUCAGUCGAACCUUAUCAUUUAGAGGAAGGAGAAGUCGUAACA
rnacentral:rRNA from 1 species